rnacentral:rRNA from 1 species
CAGUCGCCGCGGUAAUACGAGGGGGGCAAGCGUUGUUCGGAUUUAUUGGGCGUAAAGGGUGCGUAGGCGGUUUGGCAAGUCUUAUGUGAAAUCUAUGGGCUCAACCCAUAGUCUGCAUGAGAAACUACCGGGCUUGAGUGAUGGAGAGGUGAGUGGAAUUUCCGGUGUAGCGGUGAAAUGCGUAGAUAUCGGAAGGAACACCUGUGGCGAAAGCGGCUCACUGGACAUUAACUGACGCUGAUGCACGAAAGCUAGGGGAGCAAACAGGAUUAGAGACCCCUGUAGUCCCUGUCUCUUAUAC